UGACUUUCUUGUGUCAAAACGGUGUCGAGUUCUUUUCGUUUAAAGGUCUCUUGUGCGAAAGUUGUGUUUUUCCGUGCAUUUCACGUUUCGUGUCAAAAACUAUAGACUUAAAAAUGCGUUACGUGGCUGCAUACCUGUUGGCUGUUCUCGGUGGUCAAGAUAGCCCCGCCAAUGCUGAUCUGGAGAAAAUUCUUAGCUCUGUGGGUAUUGAGGCCGAUGCCGAGCGUCUGACCCGUGUCAUCAAGGAGUUGAAGGGCAAGAGCAUAGACGAUCUGAUCAAGGAGGGUCGUGAGAAGCUAUCAUCGAUGCCCGUUGGCGGUAGUUGUGCUGCUGCUGCACCCGCAGCCGGUGCUCCAACGGCUGCUGCUGGUGGUGAUAAGAAGGAAGCCAAAAAAGAAGAGAAGAAGGAAGAGUCUGAGUCUGAAGAUGACGAUAUGGGCUUCGCUCUCUUCGAAUAAUCCAACUUCUUUCAACAUUCGUAUGUACUGCGUAAAACAUUUACAACAGCAGUACUUAAGAACUGGGCAGCACAAUCAUCGACUGCUUACACAAUGCCACACAUUGCUUAAAAUGACGUUCAAAUCUUGUUACUACCACCCGACAAAUAUAUUAAAAAAAAAAAAGGAAACUUUAAAACGUUUAUUUCUAUGAAAUAAAAAUUUGCAGUGUUUACGCAUCGUUCAUCGUCA